AAUGUGGUGGAGCAAACCUGACUUUAACUCGAACUCUUCGGUUUUACCUUGCGCAGCCGUGGGAUAUUGGAUACACAAAGGUGCGGCAUUAUCUAAUCCCGAAGCGGCGAGCUCCUUGAGUGUUCGGUUGUUCAUGGCCAUGUCUUGCACUACUUCUCCCACUUGUGCCGUGGGUAUCUCCUCCUCUUCUGGAACUUGUUCUUCAAGGUUAGGUUCCAGGCUAAGUGGGUUGGACUCUUGUUGGUUCCUUCUUCGUCUCAAAGUUCUCUCAAAAUCGUCGUCAAAGUCCAAAAUAUGCUCACGAACAGGGUGGGAACUUCGAGUCAUGCACUAGUACCUUAAAAACAAAGAAACAAAACAGGGUCAGAAACUUCAACAAAAUAAAUGAAUGAAAAGAAGCAAUCAAAGGGAUUAGCAAAGUUGCUAAUCCCCGGCAACGGCGCCAAAUUUAAACAUUGAAAACAAAAGAAAGAAAACACCUAGACGCUCCAAUGAUCCACUUUGAACAACAAGCAUGCCUAUAGACUGUCCUCUUUCCUCUUUGCUGCGGCACAAGACUUGGGGACAUGUUUUGGGUGAUAUUUUUAUGGAGGAAUGGAUGUGAGAUGGUAUGGUAGUGUUUAGGAUAGGUGGAGGGUGCGGCAAAGGUAAGGAAUUAUGGAUGUAUGGUGAUUUGGGAGUGUAGAAUGGUGUGGAAUGUGGCUGGACGAAUUUCUGAGAUGAAAGGGGGUAUUUUUCAUGUCUCUAGUGUUCUUCCCUUCACUCCCUAUUUAUAGAAGCUCCAAAGCAAAGAAUCACUCAAG
rnacentral:lncRNA from 1 species